UAAGGAAUAUUGGUCAAUGGACGCAAGUCUGAACCAGCCAUGCCGCGUGAAGGAUGAAGGUCCUCUGGAUUGUAAACUUCUUUUAUCUGGGACGAAAACGGGAUUUUUAUCUCAAUUGACGGUACCAGAGGAAUAAGCACCGGCUAACUCCGUGCCAGCAGCCGCGGUAAUACGGAGGGUGCGAGCGUUAUCCGGAUUUACUGGGUUUAAAGGGUGCGUAGGUGGGCUUAUAAGUCAGUGGUGAGCAAACA
rnacentral:rRNA from 1 species